UACAGAGGGUCUCAAGCGUUGUUCGGAUUCAUUGGGCGUAAAGGGUGCGUAGGUGGCAUGGUAAGUCGGAGUGUGAAAUCCCGGGGCUCAACCCCGGAACUGCAUUCGAUGACUGCUGCGCUAGAGUACUGGAGAGGGAGAUUGGAAUUUACGGUGUAGCAGUGAAAUGCGUAGAUAUCGUAAGGAAGACCAGUGGCGAAGGCGGAUCUCUGGACAGUUACUGACACUGAGGCACGAAGGCCAGGGGAGCAAACCGGG
rnacentral:rRNA from 1 species